rnacentral:rRNA from 1 species
UACGUAGGGGGCAAGCGUUGUCCGGAAUCAUUGGGCGUAAAGCGCGCGUAGGCGGCCCGAUCAGUCCGCUGUAAAAGUCCAGGGCUCAACCCUGGAAAGCCGGUGGAUACUGUCGGGCGUAGAGUCCGGAAGAGGCGAGUGGAAUUCCUGGUGUAGCGGUGGAAUGCGCAGAUAUCAGGAGGAACACCGAUGGCGAAGGCAGAUCUCUGGGCCGUAACUGACGCUGGAGGAGCGAAAGCGUGGGGAGCGAACAGG